rnacentral:lncRNA from 1 species
GGAGUGUAUAUCUGUGUAAUUUGUACCACCUCUCUCUUCCAGUCAGGAGGAGGGUCCAGAGGUGCUGCUGGUGAAGGAGGAGGGGUGUAAGGAGUGUCUGUGGAACCCUGAGGAGACCAUGGUCAUGUAGGACAACCAGACUACAUCUCCUGAACCCACAGAGGAACCAGCUGAGCAGCACAGGACCACACACAGUCUCACUGAGGAUUUUCCAUUUCAAGCCCAAAUAUGUCAUACUUUGACAAAAAUGAGGACCUAUUGACGAAAAUCGUUGUACAACAUCAUGUGGAGGAUGGGAAGCCUGAUCUGCUGUUAGUCAAAAAAUACAUUAUCUAAGAUUGAUAUUUGGUAUUCAUCAGUCAUAAAAGUGUACGUAAUCGCUCAGCACUACCCACCAGCACCACCUGAAGGGGCACCAGAGAGUCCACUCAUGGGAAGAACCCUACAGCUGCCCCCGGUGUGAGGAGAGGAUCUCUCGCCAGGACCAGCUGAAGAUGUACCUGAAUUUCCACAUGGGAGAGAGGAGCUACCUCAGGAUACACCAGCAGAAAAUGCAUCCAUGUAUAGAGUCAUUUUACAUGUAAUGUAGUACUAGUUAGUUCUGUUGGUUUUGGAUGUAGUAGGGAACUGGAUGAGGUGUACUGAGGAAAGAAUGAGUAUGAUGAGGCAGAGUAGAUGAUAUGGGGAUAGUUGGUGUGAUGAUGUCUGUAAAAAUGCUUCCCUGAUGAAGUGGCAACUUUGUCCUGUUUGAUGCUGGUGAUUUAUGAGGAAAUGAUAGUGCCUUAAUUCAUGUUUACUUGACAGGAAGUUAAGAUAAAGAACAUAAAGAUGUGUGUAAUGUUGUAUUUUUUUUACAAUAAAAUCCAAUGUCUGCAUAUUGUUAGGUACUUGAAUCACAGUCAUAGAGAUGGCCUUGACUGUGGUUAACAUUUUACCAGGUAAGUUGACUGAGAACACAUUCUCAUUUACAGCAAUGACCUGGGGGGAUGAAUGAGCCAAUUGUAAGCUGGGGA